GACCUUGUAGCCUAGUUGGUAAAGCGCCCUCACGUCGUCCGGCACAAAUUAAGAUUCUUGAGGAUUAAGUAUUGUGGGUUCGAGCCCCGCCAAGGUCU